GAUGGUCUAGUGGAGGCGGAGGUGGUGGAUGGUCCGGCGGAGGCGGAAGUGGUGGGUGGUCCGGCGGAGGCGGCCAUGGUGGCAGCGGUGGACAGGUGAAGAUAAUCAAAAUCAUAACCAGCGGAGGCGGAGGCGGCGGCGGCGGCGGCGGUUAUGGUGGUGGUUUCGGAGGCGGCCACGGCGGAGGUUUUGGCGGCGGCAGCGGCUGGAAAAGUGGUGGUGGAUGGUCCAGCGGCGGAAGCGGUGGUGGCUGGAAAAGCGGCGGCGGCGGCGGUGGCGGUGGAUGGAAACUUGGCGGAGGAAGCUAUGGAGGCUCAAGUCUAGGCGGAUACGGAGGUGGUUCAGGAUGGAAAUCCGGUGGCGGUGGCGGCGGCGGCGGCGGCGGAUGGUCAAGUGGCGGCUCAUCUGGCUGGUGGUGAUUU